rnacentral:rRNA from 1 species
AUUAGUGGAUUGUCAAUUGGGUUGAUGCUGGCGUUCAUUACGCAUGUGCUCGCCUUUACAAUCAUCUUCCAAACACCCUGUGCACGCUGGUUGAGGGAGUACUGAGCUGUGAUGUGAGUCCUCUUAUGCUCCCUCAAUCCUUCAUCCAUACUCUUAUUGCAAUGUCGAACGUGGUUUGUGCCGCAAGGCCUUAAUAAUUAUACAACUUUUAACAACGGAUCUCUUGGCUCUCGCAUCGAUGAAGAACGCAGCGAAAUGCGAUAAGUAAUGUGAAUUGCAGAAUUCAGUGAAUCAUCGAAUUUUUGAACGCACCUUGCGCUCCCUGGUAUUCUGGGGAGCACGCCUGUUCGAGUGUCGUGAAAUUUCUCAAGCUUUGGGGGUUUGCUAUCCCUUUAGUCUUGGUUUAUUGAGCUUUGCUGUUGUCCUUUAUCCAAAGGGAAUGGCUGGCUUUAAAAGCAUUAGUUGAUCCCCUGUGUGGUGUUGGUUUCUACUGAAGCGUGAUAAUAUUCUGAUCGCUGAAAGUACAUCUUUUUGGAUGGCCAGGCUGCCAAUUUGUGGGGUUAAUUUUAUAUAGUCUGGUUUCGCAGAUCUGACCCCCCUUGGUCUGUGGUUCCACUCUUCUCAGGUUUGGCCUCGAAUCAGGUGGGACUACCCGCUGAACUUAAGCAUAUCAAUAAGCG